UACGAAGGGGGCUAGCGUUGCUCGGAAUCACUGGGCGUAAAGGGUGCGUAGGCGGGUCUUUAAGUCAGGGGUGAAAUCCUGGAGCUCAACUCCAGAACUGCCUUUGAUACUGAAGAUCUUGAGUUCGGGAGAGGUGAGUGGAACUGCGAGUGUAGAGGUGAAAUUCGUAGAUAUUCGCAAGAACACCAGUGGCGAAGGCGGCUCACUGGUCCGGUACUGACGCUGAGGCGCGAAAGCCAGGGGAGCAAACGGG
rnacentral:rRNA from 1 species